rnacentral:rRNA from 1 species
UACGGAGGGUGCAAGCGUUGUCCGGAAUCACUGGGCGUAAAGGGCGCGUAGGCGGCUCAUGAAGGCUGUGGUGAAAGUCCGGGGCUCAACCUCGGAUCGGCCGUGGCGACUCGUGGGCUGGAGCACUGUAGAGGCGGGUGGAAUUCCGGGUGUAGCGGUGGAAUGCGUAGAGAUCCGGAAGAACACCAGUGGCGAAGGCGGGUCUCUGGGCCGAUAUUGACGCUGAGGAGCGAAAGCGUGGGGAGCGAACAGG